CUGACUUCCUCUCCAGAGACGGCCCUCUGCUGCUUACCCACCCCGUGCUGCCCAUUCGCAAUCAAGACUAGCUCGCUGUCCUCUGCCCCGUGUCCGGCGCAAAGCGGCAUCGACCUCACCUUGUACACGACGGGCGGCCCUCCCUCUGUAUCCUCACAAGGACGCUGCUCAUCCAAACAUGUACCUCCUCUGGCUAGCUCUCGUCCUGCUGCUCUCUCUUACGAGCCUCUCUCCCUCUCAUCUAUCUAUUAUAUAUCUCUUGCUGGUGACGUAUUUGAUGAAAUGACUCUGAGAAAACUGCAAUUUUCUGGGUUUGCAGUAGAGAGUCUGGCUGCUGCUGGGUUGCAAAUCCUGCCCACCUUGGGGAAUCGCUGACAAAAACAAGCCGUGACGAUGCGCUCUCAUCGGAUUAACGUCGCUCUACCUCCGCGGACAAGACGAUACUGAAGCAGUAGUGCAUCACCGAGUAUGCGCUUGAGGAAAGUCUGGUUUGAGACAUGAUAAAUUCAGAGAAACUAGGCAUCAGGUUCGUGAGUGAUCCACUACCAUGGAGCAAAGGUGAUGUAUUAGGCAUGUGUUCUGUAUUCUAUAUCUGGCCUUCGAGUCCAUCGGCGCCGACGCUGCCGAGUGGUGGACACCCGCGUUUGAGUGUUGCAUCGACGCUACACGCUUCACUUGCCGCAGGGGAGCUCCGCGAGGUCCAGAAUGAAUAUUGCUCCUAUGAUGCAACAGCGAGAGGCAUGGACGUCCGUCCAAAUGGACUCCUUCCUUGACAUGGUGCGCAAGUGCAAGGAGACGGAGAAGUCCAAUUGUCCAUAAGUUUAGUGGGACUGAGUUUUCUUUCUUGAUCGAUCGGCAGCCACGGUUCAGGUCGAUCGAUUCCCAAGGGUCUUGAGGGCAGCAGAGAGAAACUUGAGCGCGCAGAAGAGGAAGAGGAGUCACACGCCGACGCUACAUCGACGGGCAAGGUGGCAGUGGCUACAUCUACAAGUCAACAACCAUCGCCACCAAACGCCUUCUGCCACACUGCACCAACUCGCCUAUGCAUAGACCAGACCCACUUUGACUCCUCGCCCAUUUUAUUUUCACCAUCUUCUCUAUCGCUGGCAUUUUCCCCUGCCAGGUGUAUUUGCACGCUUAAGCAGACCUGGUUUUUUUUUUGCUGAAGGUUCCCUUGUUGAUUAAAUGGACCUGGAAAAUAUGGCUCUUAUUCUUCUUUGAACUA